GUCUAUUCUGCUUCCAAUAAAGUGACAGUCUUAUGGAUAGGUCUGUCCAAGUGUACUUGUUUAGCGAUUCUCUUUCUGUGGUCAUCUAAUGCAGAAUCAGUAAUAAGCAGUUGCACUUUGCGUACACAUCCAUCUUCACUUGGAUACACUGUGGUGACUUUAGCAAGUUCCCAGUC